UUUUUGCGCGCUGCGCGCCGCUCAGGACUCACAGGCGUCCCGGCAUCUCCUCUGGCUCGGCGCUAUGGGCAAGAAGGGCAAGAAAGAGAAGAAGGGCCGCGGGGCGGAGAAGACGGCCGCCAAGAUGGAGAAGAAGGUGUCCAAGCGCUCGCGGAAGGAGGAGGAGGACCUCGAAGCCCUCAUAGCCCACUUCCAGGCUCUCGAUGCCAGAAAGACCCGGAUCGUGGAGACACCCUGCUCCCCACCUUCUCCAAGGUUAAAUGCCUCACUCUCCGCUCAUCCUGAGAAAGAUGAAUUAAUCCUUUUCGGAGGUGAAUAUUUCAAUGGCCAAAAAACUUUUUUAUAUAACGAACUCUACAUCUACAACAUCAGGAAGGACGCCUGGACUCAAGUCGAAAUCCCCAACCCACCCCCGAGGCGUUGUGCUCACCAGGCUGUGGCGGUGCCCCAGGGCGGCGGACAGCUGUGGAUCUUUGGCGGGGAGUUUGCCUCUCCCGACGGAGAGCAGUUCUACCACUACAGGGACCUCUGGGUCCUGCAUUUGGCCACCAAGACGUGGGAGCAAGUCAGAUCACCAGGCGGUCCUUCAGGACGGAGUGGACAUCGGAUGGUGGCCUGGAAGAGACAGUUAAUCCUUUUUGGUGGCUUCCAUGAGAGUACAAGAGAUUACAUCUAUUACAAUGACCUGUAUGCCUUCAACCUGGACACCUUCACGUGGAGCAGGCUGUCCCCGUCCGGGACGGGGCCCACACCCAGGUCAGGCUGCCAGCUGACCGUCACUGCCCAGGGCAGCCUCGUCCUCUACGGGGGCUACUCGAAACAGAGAGUCAAGAAAGACGUGGACAGAGGAACCCAGCACUCUGACAUGUUCCUGCUGAAGGCUGAGGAGGGAAGAGAAGGCAGAUGGGCCUGGACGCGGGUCAACCCUUCCGGAGCCAAGCCCACCCCAAGGUCCGGCUUCUCGGUGGCUGUGGCCCCGAACCAUCAGACGCUGCUGUUUGGGGGUGUGUGUGAUGAGGAGGAGGAGGAGAGCCUGGAGGGCCACUUCCUCAACGACCUGCACUUCUACGACCCCGUCAGGAACCGCUGGCUCGUGGGGCAGCUGAAGGGGCCUAAGGUGGAGAAGAAGAGGCGCAGGCGGGGCAGAAAAGGGGAGCCCAGGGGUGCCAGCAAGCAGGAAAUGAAGGGGACCGGGGCCCAGGAGCCCCUGCUGGUGGUCAGAGAGCUGGUGGCAGAGGACGGGACCGUGUUCACCAUCCAGCAGGGCCUCGCUGCCCUGGGCCCGGCAGGACGGCCCGUGUCCGACGACGACGACGACGACGGCCCCGACGAGGCGGGGAUCCCUGCGGUGGAGCCCAGCCCCCGCUGCAGCGCCAUGCUGGCCAUGAAGCACGGGCGCCUCUACCUCUAUGGGGGCAUGUUUGAGGCUGGCGACCGCCAGGUCACCCUCGGUGACUUGUACUGCCUCGACCUUCACAAGAUGGAAGAGUGGAGGGUCCUGGUGGAGAUGGAUCCAGAAUCGCAGGAGUGGCUGGAGGAGACGGACUCAGAGGAGGACAGCGAUGCGGCCCCGGGCGCCGAGGGCGGCGGGGAGGACGAGGAGGACGAGGACAGCGGCGAGGAGGCCGGGGGUGAGUGAGCCCGGGGGCCGCGUGCGGCCACAGCCGGAGCUGAGAAGGAGCGGCCUCGGGGCCGCCCGCCUCCCCAGGGCUCACAGCUCAGGGCACCUCUCCACCGGAGCCCUCAUUUUUAUCGAGCAGCGCCCCUCGGCGGCACCCGGCGAGCCCUUCGCAGACUCCCUGCCCAGGACUGAGCAGUAGAAGGUGGCGCGGGCCACGCCGGGCCCCAGAGAGGAGAGUGCUGAGAGCCGCCCGGGCCGUGGCCACGGCUUCCUCUGGUGACUCGGC